AUACGGAGGGUGCAAGCGUUGUUCGGAAUUACUGGGCGUAAAGGGUACGUAGGCGGUUAAAUAAGUUGGAUGUGAAAGCCCCGGGCUCAACCUGGGAACUGCAUUCAAAACUGUUUGACUCGAGUGUAUGAGAGGUUGGCGGAAUUCCAGGUGUAGCAGUGAAAUGCGUAGAUAUCUGGAGGAACAUCAGUGGCGAAGGCGGCCAACUGGCAUAACACUGACGCUGAGGUACGAAAGCGUGGGGAGCGAACGGGAUUAGAAACCCGAGUAGUCC
rnacentral:rRNA from 1 species